GGUGGUGUCUCUUUUUGAUGAUUGCUUCUUUGUGGAGGAUUUGUGGUAAGUCUCAACAUUGGUGAGCAUCCAUCUCAACUGAAAGCCUCAGCACUGGUACUGAAUUCGCUACCAUUUGUUACCUGGCACUGAGUGGGUUUGGACUUGUGGCCCUACAUCUUCAUCUGCACACUUAAAAGCAUAUUUCAGAAGCAACUGGCAUUGAAAUGUAAGAGAGAGGCUGCAGAACAAACAGGAGAUCAAUGGAGGAGAAGUUGCCUCAUUGAUGGUGUCUCAAAGCAAGAAAAGAAACAGUCACACAGAACUCCUGGAUGAGGGGAAUGAUGCUGUAAUACCAGAUGCACUGAAUAUGGUCAGAAUGAUUGUUACUCAGUUAUCUUCUUAUGCAGCCUUCUGUUAAGAUAUUUCAUUGGAUCAGAAUCACAGUAUGUCUUGGAUUAGAAGGAACAUCAAGGAUCUUCAAGCUCCAGCCCCAUGCAGAUCAAGCUGCCCAGAGCCCUAUACAACUGGCAUUGAAUGCCUCUAGGAAUGGGGCAUCCAUAUCUUUUCUGGGUAGCCUGUGCUAGCACCUCACAGUCCUCUGACUAAAGAAUUUCUUCCUAAUAUCUGACCUAAAUCUCCCUUCUUUUAAUUUAAAGCCAUUCUGACUUAUCUUGUCACUAUUAGACCAUGUAAAAAGUCAGUCCCCCUUCUGCUCCUAAGCUCCCCUCAAGUAAUGGGAGGUCUUCUCCAGGCUGAACAAGCCCAGUGCCCUCAACCUGUCUUCACAGGAGAGGUAUUCCACCCCUAUGAUUCUAUUUGCGGCCUCCUCUGCACCCACUCCAACAGCAACACAUCCCUUCUGUCCUGGAGACCCCAGGCCUGGACGUAGUAUUCCAGAUGGGGAUUCACAGGGGCAGAGCGGGGGGGGGAUGUUACCUUCUCUCUGCCUGCUGGCCAUCCCUCUUUUGAUGCUCACGUGGUACUGUUGCCCUUCUGGGCUGCAAGCAUACACUUCUGGAGCAUAUCCAGCUUUUCGUCCUUCUCUGCAAAGCUGCUCUCAUCAAACAAGAAAGGCAUCCAUCAAACAAGAAAUUUCUACCAUCUAGGAAAUGCUGAAUUAGGAAAUGAAAAUACACUGCACAGCUCAUGGCUCCCAGACCUUGCCUGGAUAUUAAGAGAUAGUCAUUUAGAGAGUUUCAGAUUUGCCUGCUCUUUGUUUUGCUGAUACAAUCUUUUCUGCUAGAGUACCUUUACAUUUCUUGCUUUAACUUGUAUAUUCCCAGGACACCUUCCUUAAGCAAAAAAAAAAAAAAACAAAAAACUUGUUACCAUUAGCCAAAUGAGAAAUUAAGGCAUAAAAAGACCUCAACAGUUUGCCCAGACUCACACAGGAUAUCUGCACCUGAGUAUUACAUUGAAAAUGCAUCUCUGUAAGUGCAGUGACCUGACGCGGAAUGCAGUUUAAUUUAAAGAGCUCUGUAUGGAGCAUCUUCUUGGAAUCUAAUCUACAAAUUGCUACUGGACUCUUCACAAGUGCUGUAAAGCUGUUGUUUUGGACUUGGGCAGCUCAGAAUAGUAGAAGCAAUAAAUCUGUGCAUUCAGAUUAGCUUAGACAAUAGUUUCAGUUCAUCUUUACUUUUACUACACAUCACUAUGCUGAUGGCCAUGGGAAAUAAGAUUUAAAGCUUUUAAUGCAUUCCUGGUGAGUGCUGUAUGCAACAUUCUGCCUAAAAAUGCUGCUUUCACAUCACAAUUUCUAAGUAAAGUCUCCAGUCACUUAUUAAAAGCUUGCAGUGUAGAAUCAGAUAAAUGAUUACAGUUUUCUGGUCUUAUGUUUGCUGAUCUGGCAACUAGAAAUGUUUUACUUGGAAAAAAAUGUCUCCAAACAGAAUUUUAAGGAGUUAAUUCAGAGUUUCUGGCUAUCAACCUUCAAACUUUAUUUUUAAGGAGAGAAAAUUCAGAGUUUCUGACUAACAUCCUUACAAAGUUUAUUUUUAACCUCCUGUUCAAUUAUUCCUGUAGUUGGUUUUUGGUUGUUUUUGUUUUUGGUUUUUUUGUGA